rnacentral:rRNA from 1 species
AAACUUUACAAUGCGGGAAACCGCGAUAAGGGGACACUGAGUGCCAGCAUCAAAUGUUGGCUGUCCAGAUGAUUAAAAAUCAUUUGUUAGCAAGGGCCGGGCAAGACCGGUGCCAGCCGCCGCGGUAACACCGGCGGCCCGAGUGGUAGCCGUUUUUAUUGGGUCUAAAGGGUCCGUAGCCGGCCUGAUAAGUCCUUUGGGAAAUCUGGCAGCUUAACUGUCAGGCUUCUAAGGGAUACUGUCAGGCUUGGGACCGGAAGAGGUAAGGGGUACUCCAGGGGUAGGAGUGAAAUCUUGUAAUCCCUGGGGGACCAUCUGUGGCGAAGGCGCCUUACCAGAACGGGUCCGACGGUGAGGGACGAAAGCUAGGGGAGCAAACCGGAUUAGAUACCCGGGUAGUCCUAGCUGUAAACGAUGCUCGCUAGGUGUCAGACACGGUGCGACCGUGUUUGGUGCCGCAGGGAAGCCGUUAAGCGAGCCACCUGGAAGUACGUCGCAAGGC